UGUUUAGCUAGAGUAACAACGGUUGCUGCAGUCUCACUGGAGUUUCUUCCCAUCGCUCGUGAGGAGGAGGGCUCGUGUGAGGACUGCUCGUGCUGUGAUGGGACUACAAAUCCGUUAGUACAAGCAGCCUCCUCCUCUUCCAUCAUGGCUCCCUCGGCAGACAGGCAGGGAUACUGGGGGCGGCCGACCUCAACGCUGGACUGGUGCGAAGAAAAUUAUGUUGCUUCUUUUUACAUUGCGGAAUUUUGGAACACUGUCAGCAACUUGAUUAUGAUUGUUCCUCCUAUUUUUGGGGCCAUCCAGACGUUUCGAGACGGCCUUGAGUUUCGCUACGUCUGCUCUUUCCUCGGACUGGCAGCUGUUGGUGUUGGUUCUUGGUGCUUCCACAUGACGCUGCUAUAUGAAAUGCAGUUACUGGACGAGUUGCCAAUGAUUUACAGUACAUGCAUCUUUGUCUACUGUCUAUAUGAAUGUUUUAAACAAGAGAAGACCAUCAGUUUAUUUCUGAUUGCAUUGUUAUUGAUCUUCAGUGUCUCAGUCACUGUGGUAUACCUACAGUGGAAGGAGCCAGUCUUUCAUCAGGUGCUGAAUCACCAAGCAGACGGCAAAGAACUAGUGGCAGUGAAGGCCAACUGUGGCGUCGCCUCACAUCGCUUGUGUCUUGGCCAAAAAGUUGCACUUGAACACACCACACAGACUACAGCCGGCAACCAUCUACCACGUCAUGUAUGGUGCUCUAGUAGGUUGCCUAGUGAUGCGAUCUGUCUUCAUCGUUACAUGGGUGUACCCAUGGCUCCGACCGCUGUGUUACGCCUCCUUAGGAAUCUUUUUGCUUGGGUUCCUACUGUGGAACAUUGACAAUAUUUUCUGUGACACAUUAAGAGCCAGUAGACAAACGCUGCCCUCUGGUGUUGGAGUAGUAACACAGUUCCAUGCCUGGUGGCAUAUCUUCACAGGCCUUGGCUCCUACCUGCAUAUACUUCUUAGCCUGCAGAUUAGGUCAACCUACCUCAAGUACAGACCAAAUGUAAAGUUUCUUUGUGGAGUUUGGCCUACAUUGCACAUCGAACCACAGAAGACGAGUUGAAAUGAAGGGAUGGAGACCAACUGAAGGAUGGGGACGGCCAUAUCCAGACACCAUCGGCAAAGGGACCUGCCAAUACCCACUGCUGCACAAUCAGCCCACAGCUAGGGCACAGGUGCACCCAAAGGCACCCUGGGGUGGAACGUUUGGUUCUGCACUGUGGGCAUUUACUAAACAGUAUAGCACUGAAUCCAGUUUGGAGAAAUGGAAGAUUUUCUUUUCAUGAGUCAUAAUUUAUUAGCCUAGCUUUUCUGUAAUGUUAUUGAAGUGUAAUGAUUUUAUUUGCUCAUUCAUUUUUAAUGCAAAUAUGUUGUUGUCCACUGCAGCUGUAAAUACUGACCGGGUAUGGGUGUCAUCUUAAUUAGGGUUUGGGAAAAGGGAAAGUAAUUAUUCACAAGUUCCCAUUAGCAUUUUAAUUGUAUGUUUCAUUCUGUGGAUAUUAGAAUCUCCUAAGCCUAAAGAUAUUUGAAUAUAUCCCUAAACUUAAGUAUAACUAAGACUGUAGCUUACAAUACUUAAAACACAGUAUUGUCAUAUCCCUUUUUAAAUAGUAUUGUAUUGUUUCUACAUAUGGGAGAAACUGGCUCUGUUAUUGUAGCUUAGCUGUCUUGACUAGAAGAUCCGUGUUCAUUUCCUUGUGCCACAGGCUGCAUGUUUACUUGAAAUCUUAAAACAUGCAACAACUGGAAUUAUUAAUUUAUUUUUCUAUCAGUGCCAAAGUUGUUCUGGGAUUUUAGAAAGUAAUGUAAUGUGUGAAACAUGAUGCUGUUUUACCUCGUCAUAAUCAAGCAAGAGAUGCAAUGGUCAUAAUUUUGCUUUUAUUAUUGCACCCAAUUAAAAUUUUGUUUAGGACAAGGUUAACAUUUUUCCAGCAAAGCAAGUUAAACCACUUUUGAAAGCUCGAGUUUCUGUGGACAGAAACACUUGGACAGUCUUUAAAGCGAUACUGAGCGUGUGCUCUGUGAAGGUCUAAACUUUUGCAACCACAGCUAAAACCUCCACCGGAGUGUGUUAUGUUAAGGAACCCAUAUGUUGGGGUGGGGGGGCGACCAGCAACUGGAGGCUCUGAUCAGGCACAAAUUAUCACUGGAAUUGCAACGGACCAACUUGCUACUGAUGUUUGCGCAAGCUUGACGGGUUUUCUAUUUGUAAUUUUUAACAUUCACUCCAAGAACCAAGUGAAUAAAUGGAAAAUGACUGAAUAAUGUCAUGCUCAUUAGCUGUAGUUUAUGGGGACAAGACACAGCCAAUUCUUUUCUUCCUGCUGCAUCAUUGCAUUAAACCUCCACCUGUUGUCAGUUGAUAACAGUUUUAGUAGUGUGCCCUCCCUUAAUAGAAAUACGCUUAUACAGCCAAGAGUAAACUGUCUUUAUCCACUGAUACUGAACCCACUAUGCUACUACAUUUUAUUCAUCCCACUCCCAUUUGGUCAAAUGACACCUGUAGUGAAUAUCUUUGAGAAACAGUGUAUGAAACAACCACUAGGUGGCAUACAUUUCCAUCUUGGCAGACAUUGCCAAACAUGGCGUUGUGGAUGGAGGAACUACUAGCUACCUUCUGUAGAAAUCUUAGGGUCUUUGAAUCAAUUCCCAUGUACUGGAUCUGUGGUGUCAAAUGAAAGGCUUUUUCUUUUCAAUUAGUUUUUUGCUGCUAUAAAUUUGUGGAUAUGUAAUGGUAACAAAAGAACCCGGAACUUGACAUAACUGUUGAAGAUGGUUGUAUGACAAUAUGUCUGUGGCCUCCUGAACUGCUGUGGGCUGCAUUAUCCCCUGAAACAACCCAUUACUCAUCCAUAGUUCAUUAUACAUACACACUAACUCUCAUAUUGGGUAUUUCAAUUGUAUGAGCCCAGUAUUACACACAUUCAUAAGCACAAUGUAUAGAAGAUAAGUGUUAACAUUGUUCAAAUGUCUGUGAAAUCUGUUGUUUUCUUGACAUCUCUGCUCAUCAGUAGAGGGGAGCAGUUGUCUAAGAGGGUGCCUUAGUGUUAUCCUUGCGGUCCGAGUUAUCCAAGUUGCCUUGAUGUCCGUGAUAAACAAAACCAUUCCCAACUGUCCCUUGUGUUGUGCAGGCUGGUUCUAGGCAGUCAACGCAUCAGGGCACACAAGAUUGGAUUCUAUUGCAAAGUCUGCGCCUGAAUCUUUGGCCUUCCAUUCAUUUAAUGAGUCCAACAUUUUAUUUACAGGCUGAUCAUAACUGCAACUGUAGCUUUCACUAAAAAACAAAAACAAAACAUUAAUGUGUUGAGGCCAGAAGAGAAAACUGUUAUCAUUUCUUUUGAACUUUGUUCAAGUGCCAGUCUUUAUUGAUGUCCUGUAUUAUAAAAUAAAAGAACGUGUUAAUCUA